GCUCAGUUGGUUAAGCUUCCAACUCUUGGUUUGGACUCAGGUCAUGGUCUCAGGGUCAUGGGUUCGAGCCCCAUAUUGGGCU
rnacentral:tRNA from 1 species